AGAGAAAGUCAGCAAAGGGGGGAGAAAAGAAAACAACUGACCCUGGUCUCAACCCUUGUUUUUUAGUCCUAGUUCCCAAUAAGAUUUUCUAGUAAACUCCUUUUUGAUACUCUGGAUCACAGAAUUCACCACCCAGAUCAUCACAAGCCUCUGCUGGAAAGACUGUCUUGGGACUGUCAUAUUGUAGAUACUCUCUAUCAACUGGCUCUGUAACACUACCCCCUUUUUUGGCCUCUGGUUUUAGCUUUACUUCAGGAUACAUUUCCACGUCACAAGCUUCACCUCCAACAGUGUCACAAGCCUCUGCUGGAAAAACAGAGGAGAUGGAGCUGUAGUCAACAGUUGAAGGGUCUUGUCCGACCGCACUUGCCUUUGCUUUUAGGGUGGGACGUUGAGUUUGAGAAGUGGGGUGCCUUCGCAUGGAGCUAGAUGGGACUGAGAAGGCCAUUGAUUUGGCAGUUGGUGGGAGGAGGGAGCAUGAUGAUGGAGGUGGCAUGGAAAGAGCUGCCUGCAACUGCAUGAUGAAUAGUGGCUCG
rnacentral:misc_RNA from 1 species